rnacentral:lncRNA from 1 species
UGCUUCAGCAAGAAGAAGGUGCAGAUCCUCCCUCCCCAGAUUGCUUGGAAACAGGAGAAAACCGGCCCUACUAAAUGCCAUCCAGUGCACACCUACAGGAUCCUCCCCCACUCCUCUCCAGGACCCUUACACAGAAUGAAGGACAGACCUCCUUGAGGCAGAGUAGCAGCUGUGGUCUGUCUGCUGCCUCUGCCUCUGAGUCAUUGUCAGGUUCCACAGAGUCAAGAAUUCCUCACAGUAAAAUGCUCCAAGGAAAGCUUCCCAGAAACAUCCCCCUGGAGUAUCCUGCUGGGCUUUACUGCUGCUACGUAGUGAUCAUUGUCCUCAGUGUAGCUGUAGUUGCUCUUUCUGUUGCUUUGUCAG